rnacentral:rRNA from 1 species
GAUGAACGCUGGCGGCGUGCUUAACACAUGCAAGUCGAACGGAAAGGCCCUGCUUGCAGGGUACUCGAGUGGCCAACGGGUGGGUGAGUCAUGGGUGAAUUGCCCUCCACUUCGGGAUAAGCCUGGGCGACUGGGUCUAAUACCUGAUAGGAGAUAUUUUUAAUGGGAUGGUUCGAAAGUUUUUUGGGUGUGGGAUGAGCUGGCGGGCUAUCGGCUUGUUGGUGGGGUAAUGGCUUACGGAGGCGGCGACGGGUAGCCCGCCUGCGGGGGUGAACGGCGGUACAGGGUCUUAGGGGAGGCCCAGACUCCGACGGUAGGCCACAGGGGGGAAUAUUGCACAAUCGGCGCAAGCCUGAUGAAGAGACGCCUCGUGUGGGAUGACGGCCUUCGUGUUGUAAAAUACUUGCGCUAGGGACGAAGCUUUUUGUGACGGUACCUAGAUAAGAAGCACCGGCUAACUACGUG